rnacentral:rRNA from 1 species
UGGGGAAUAUUGCACAAUGGGCGCAAGCCUGAUGCAGCCAUGCCGCGUGUGUGAAGAAGGCCUUCGGGUUGUAAAGCACUUUCAGCGAGGAGGAAGGUGGUGAACUUAAUACGUUCAUCAAUUGACGUUACUCGCAGAAGAAGCACCGGCUAACUCCGUGCCAGCAGCCGCGGUAAUACGGAGGGUGCAAGCGUUAAUCGGAAUUACUGGGCGUAAAGCGCACGCAGGCGGUUUGUUAAGUCAGAUGUGAAAUCCCCGGGCUCAACCUGGGAACUGCAUUUGAAACUGGCAAGCUAGAGUCUCGUAGAGGGGGGUAGAAUUCCAGGUGUAGCGGUGAAAUGCGUAGAGAUCUGGAGGAAUACCGGUGGCGAAGGCGGCCCCCUGGACGAAGACUGACGCUCAGGUGCGAAAGCGUGGGGCAGCAAACAGGAUUAGAUACCCUGGUAGUCCACGCUGUAAACGAUGUCGAUUUGGAGGUUGUGCCCUUGAGGCGUGGCUUCCGGAGCUAACGCGUUAAAUCGACCGCCUGGGGAGUACGGCCGCAAGGUUAAAACUCAAAUGAAUUGACGGGGUC